UUGACAGCCCUGGAGAGUGAAGUCCGCUGUUUAUUAAAAGGGCAGGUACAACCAGGAUAGUGGCAGUGCUUGUUUCCCCAUGGAUAACGUGGCUUCACUCCUGGCAGGAAUGAAGGAGCAGUUCAUUUUCUAGCCCUAUUCAAUCCUUGCUCUCU
rnacentral:sRNA from 1 species